rnacentral:rRNA from 1 species
GACGAACGCUGGCGGCGUGCUUAACACAUGCAAGUCGAACGGUGAAGCUCCAGCUUGCUGGAGUGGAUCAGUGGCGAACGGGUGAGUAACACGUGAGCAACCUGCCCCUGACUCUGGAAUAAGCGCUGGAAACGGCGUCUAAUACUGGAUACGAGAAGGGUCCGCAUGGGCACUUUCUGGAAAGUUUUUCGGUUGGGGAUGGGCUCGCGGCCUAUCAGCUUGUUGGUGAGGUAAUGGCUCACCAAGGCGACGACGGGUAGCCGGCCUGAGAGGGCGACCGGCCACACUGGGACUGAGACACGGCCCAGACUCCUACGAGAGGCAGCAGUGGGGAACAUUGCACAAUGGGCGAAAGCCUGAUGCAGCGACGCCGCGUGAGGGAUGACGGCCUUCGGGUUGUAAACCUCUUUCAGCAGGGAAGAAGCGAAAGUGACGGUACCUGCAGAAGAAGCACCGGCUAACUACGUG